rnacentral:rRNA from 1 species
GGCUCAGACCGAACGCCGGCGGCGUGCCUAACACAUGCAAGUCGAGCGCGAAAAGGGCAACCUGAGUAGAGCGGCGCACGGGUGCGUAACACGUGAAUAAUCUGCCUUUGGGUCUGGAAUAACCUUCCGAAAGGUUGGCUAAUGCCGGAUAAGCUCACGGGGACUUCGGUUUCUGUGGGAAAAGUAGGCCACUGUUUACAAGCUUACACCAAAAGAUGAGUUCGCGGCCCAUCAGCUAGUUGGCGGGGUAAAGGCCCACCAAGGCAACGACGGGUAGCUGGUCUGAGAGGACGAUCAGCCACACUGGAACUGAGACACGGUCCAGACUCCUACGGGAGGCAGCAGUGGGGAAUUUUCCACAAUGGGCGAAAGCCUGAUGGAGCAACGCCGCGUGUGUGAUGAAGGUCUUCGGAUUGUAAAGCACUUUCGACCGGGACGAAAAACCUUUGGCUAACAUCCAGGGGCCUGACGGUACCGGGAGAAGAAGCACCGGCUAACUCUGUGCCAGCAGCCGCGGUAAUACAGAGGGUGCAAGCGUUGUUCGGAAUUAUUGGGCGUAAAGCGCGUGUAGGCGGCCUAUCAAGUCAGAUGUGAAAUCCCUCGGCUCAACCGAGGAAGUGCGUCUGAAACUGGUGGGCUUGAGUGUCGGAGAGGAUGGCGGAAUUCCGCAAGUAGAGGUGAAAUUCGUAGAUAUGCGGAGGAACACCGGUGGCGAAGGCGGCCAUCUGGACGACAACUGACGCUGAGACGCGAAAGCGUGGGGAGCAAACAGGAUUAGAUACCCUGGUAGUCCACGCCGUAAACGAUGAGAACUAGGUGUCGUGGGUGUUGACCCCCGCGGUGCCGCAGCUAACGCAUUAAGUUCUCCGCCUGGGAAGUACGGCCGCAAGGUUAAAAC